GACGAACGCUGGCGGCGUGCUUAACACAUGCAAGUCGAACGAAGUGGCGAACGGGUGAGUAAUACGUGAGUAACCUGCCCUCCUUUUUGGGAUAAGCCUUGGAUACGGGGUCUAAUACCGAAUAAAUGGGGAUGGGCCCGCGGCCUAUCAGCUUGUUGGUGGGGUGGUGGACUACCAAGGCGGUGCCGGGUAGCCGGCCUGAGAGGGUGACCGGCCACAUUGGGACGGGGAUACUGCCCAGAGUCCUACGGGAGGCAGCAGUGGGGGAUAUUGCACAAUGGGCGAAAGCCUGGUGCUGCGACGCCGCGGGGGUGAUGAAGGCUUUCGGGUUGUAAACCUCUUUCGCUAUCGAAGGGGUAGGUGGAGACGAAGCGCCGGCUAACUACGUGCCCGCAGCCGCGGUAAUUC
rnacentral:rRNA from 1 species